UACAGGGGGGGCAAGCGUUGUUCGGAAUUACUGGGCGUAAAGGGCCAGUAGGCGGCCAACUAAGUCCGACGUGAAAUCCCCAGGCUUAACCUGGGAACUGCGUCGGAUACUGGAUGGCUUGAAUUCGGGAGGAGGAUGCAGAAUUCCAGGUGUAGCGGUGAAAUGCGUAGAUAUUCGGAAGAACACCAGUGGCGAAGGCGGCUCACUGGCCCGGUACUGACGCUGAGGUGCGAAAGCGUGGGGAGCAAACAGG
rnacentral:rRNA from 1 species